rnacentral:rRNA from 1 species
GCUAAGAAUAUUCCGCAAUGGACGAAAGUCUGACGGAGCGACGCCGCGUGGAUGAAGAAGGCUGAAAAGUUGUAAAAUCCUUUUGUUGAUGAAGAAUAAGGGGAAGAGGGAAUGCUUCUCUGAUGACGGUAAUCAGCGAAUAAGCCCCGGCUAAUUACGUGCCAGCAGCCGCGGUAACACGUAAGGGGCGAGCGUUGUUCGGAAUUAUUGGGCGUAAAGGGCAUGUAGGCGGCUAUGUAAGCCUGAUGUGAAAUCCUGGGGCUUAACCCUAGAAUAGCAUUGGGUACUGUGUAGCUUGAAUUACGGAAGGGAAACUGGAAUUCCAAGUGUAGGGGUGGAAUCUGUAGAUAUUUGGAAGAACACCGGUGGCGAAGGCGGGUUUCUGGCCGAUAAUUGACGCUGAGAUGCGAAAGUGUGGGGAUCGAACAGGAUUAGAUACCCUGGUAGUCCACACCGUAAACGAUGUACACUAGGUGUUGGGGCAAGAGCUUCAGUGCCAAAGCAAACGCGAUAAGUGUACCGCCUGGGGAGUAUGCCCGCAAGGGUG